AGUUCGCACGCGUCGUGCGGGUGAGAAGCUGCGUUCAGGUUCGAGCCGAGCGAAGCGAGACAACAACGCGCAGCGUUGGCCCGCAGGGCGAGGCCGGAGGCCGAGUACAUCCUGCACGACCCACCA
rnacentral:sRNA from 1 species